AUGCUUCCAAGUAAUUUGGUAGCCUGCUGAUCACUGAAGGAGUGUGGGAAGGAGGGGCUCCAAUCUUCUCAGGGUUUGGUCCCCACUGAUAUCCCUUUUUCCUUUUUCCUCAUCCUUCUCUGCUUUGCAGUUUUCCUCCAUGAGGUUCCUGGCAGGCUCCGGUACUUCUUUCUCUGACCUACACCUCAGCUGUGUCCUUUCUCCCCUUUCCUUUGUCUGAAGCCCUUCCUUCCCUCCGGAAUGGUUGGUAAGCGAUGUCUCUAGUCAGCCAUCUUGCCCUUGUCUCCUGAAAGAGGCGUUUUAAUCGCAUGCUGCCGUGCAAGAAGAAUAGGCAACUAAUGCCUAAGACCCAAAGUACCUGGUGGCUUACAGUGUUUUGCCAAAUGCAGGUUCGGCUGCCUGCCACCCAAGAACCAAGCACAAGAGGCGAGUGUUGGUGAAGGAAAGGUGGUUUAUUCAAGUGCCAGUGGCCUGAGGAAAUGGUGGACUGUUGUUUCAAAGACCAUCUCAUCUUUCUGUGCUUACUGAGCAACUUAUGUACCCCGAAAGGGGUACACGGCAGAAAGAAAACUUUGUACAAAUCAUCAUGACUUGUUCAAUGGUUAUCAGUGAACAAUAGGUUGCCUGGUUGAUCUUGUCAUCAACUGUCUGCAGUUGGCCUAUUCCAGACUCUUAAUCUAUUCUUCCUCAAGUUCGUUUUCUAAUCUUGUGCCCAGCAGCUGUGUAAGCAAGCAUCAGGUUAAUUCUAAACUUUUAAGACAGAACAAGCUGAAAGCAUCCUUGAGGUAAAAUGGCUUCUCUUUAGCCAAUCUAUUAAUAUAGGCUGAGUGGCCCUUGGGGUGCACUCAUAGGUAGCCUCAGGUGCCAGCUGAAUCAAUACUUCACAGGAGCACCUGAAAUAACACCUCACUGAGCUCGGAGCCGUGUCCAGUUCAAGGUUACUGAAGUCUGUCCAGACAAAUAAUUGUAGAUGGUGUCAGGAAACCAACUCUCCCCUCACCCUCUGCAAUAAAAGGAUCUACGAAAAUAGGAUUGUUCA